UACGUAGGGUGCGAGCGUUAAUCGGAAUUACUGGGCGUAAAGCGCACGCAGGCGGUUUGUUAAGUCAGAUGUGAAAUCCCCGCGCUUAACGUGGGAACUGCAUUUGAAACUGGCAAGCUAGAGUGCGGUAGAGGAUGGCGGAAUUCCCGGUGUAGCAGUGAAAUGCGUAGAGAUCGGGAGGAACAUCUGUGGCGAAGGCGGCCAUCUGGACCAGCACUGACACUGAGGCACGAAAGCGUGGGGAGCAAACAGG
rnacentral:rRNA from 1 species